CUGGCUUGGGCAAAUCCACUCUUGUCAACAGCCUUUUCCUCACAAACCUCUAUAUAAAUAGAUGCAUGCCUGAUGUUUAAGAGAAGAUAGAUCGGACAGUCUCGAUAACAAAGAACACUGUAGACAUUGUUGAAGAGGGAGUAAAUCUAAGACUCACUGUUAUUGACACCCCUGGUUUUGGAGAUACCCUUAAUAAUCAUGAAAGCUGGAAGGCCGCUGUUUAUUAUGUAGACCAGGAGAUGGAGAAGUGGUGCAGAAAUGAGAUCGGGUUGAACCGUAAAAACAUAACAGACAACAGAGUGCACUGCUGUCUGUACUUCAUUUCACCUCAUGGCCAU